rnacentral:ncRNA from 1 species
CUUGCGGGACGACCUGCAAGCGCUUCGAACAUCGGGGACGGCCCC